GUUGAAAAUGCUCAAAAUGUCCAAAACAUGCUCAAACCUGCUAUAGUAAAAUUUCUAAUUAAAACAACAGAAACUUGUCCCUUUUGCUCAUGAUUCUUCUCUUCUAUCUCACUUCACUCGAGGCCUUCUCCAAUUAGCCUACACGACGAUGUCCUCCGUCUAGCACCACUCUGACGAGGUCCUACAAUCUGGCGAGAGGUAUGUAAUAUUCCUCAAAACUUGCUUGGAAAACUUUUUUUUUGGGUAUAAUCGUACAAUCUGGCGAGCAGGUAAGUAUUUCUUUCCCACUAUUUAUGGAAAUUUAUUUUGAACCUAUUUGUGUCUAUGAACACUGGCCUGUAAUUUUUAUUGAAAUUCAGUUAUCAAAUAAGGGGUGAAAGUUGGGAUGGCUUAAUUUUGAAUUCUCGUAGUUUGCAACACUUUAGAAAUCAAGAAUUCGUCAUAUGUUGCUUAAUUCAGAUAGUAAUAAGACCCGAUUCUACAGUUUUACCAUUAUGUGUUCAAUAAUUCAUUGAUAAAAAUAUGAGAAUCUUUGAAAAUCUAUGUUAGAUUUGAAAUUAUCGUUUCGGUUGUAGCCUAUAAUGGGGGAAAUAACACUUGAAAUAUGAAAUAAUGAAAUAAAAUUGUUCCAUUUUGAGCUGAAUCUACACUAAUUCAGUCAAUUGGAUGGUUCAGUAGUUUUGUUCCACUGAUCUACUCAAAUUCAGAACUUUACAUUAUUUUUUCACAAAAAUUUCUGUUAAUAAUGUUUUUGUUGAAUGAGGGAUUUUGGUGUCAAAGGUACAAAUUUGUUCCAUUUCAAGAAACCCAAAUUAUUAUUAUUAUUAUUAUUAUUAUUAUUAUUAUUAUUAUUAAUUUUUUAAAAUUGUGCUGUUUUUUGAGAAAAUGGGGUUUGUGGUUUUUUUUUAUUCUAAAAAUGUUGCAAUUAAGUGAAUUUUUUUUAUUGAACAUUCAAGAAGAUAGAAAAUUUUCCCAAAAAUAGUAAAGAUUCCCUUUUUGUUACUUUAUUGGAUUUUUUGUUGGUUGGUCUGAGUUUUGGGAAGGGAUCAUAUUCUUGAAGUGGAAUGUUGGAGUUUUUUAGGGAUAAUUAGUUGAGGGUCUUUUUUUUUUUUUUUUUUUUUUUUUUAGUGUAUUUUCUACAUUGGAUCUGAGGCAAGCCCGGUUUGGGCAAAGGCAAGUGAGGCUCAUGCCUCAGGCCUAACAAGUUAAGUUGCCUCUAAUUUUUUUUUAAUAUAUGAAAAUGAAAAACUCAGAUUGAAAGGCCUAAUUCAAUCCCUCUUGUCGCUUGUGCGAUAACAACCCGAACAGCAAAACCCACCUGUCUGCCUUGAUGCCAUCUUCUCACUUCUCUCUCAGCCUUCCGCCACCAUCGUGCCACACCAUUAUCGAUCGUGUGUUUCUAGGUUAAUAUUAUGUCUUCUCAUUUUUGCAUCAGACAAUUUCCCGAGUAGGGCUAUUUUAUUGAAAUUUGUCGUUUAUUAAUGGUGAUAAGAUGGGGUUUCAUUUUUUUUUUUGAUUGUCUACUUUUUCCAUUGUUGCAGAAAUUAUUAUCACUCUUUUACCUUUGUGCACUUACUCAUUUGUAUAUCCAGUGGCGAAUCCAGGACGCAUGUUCAUUUAGGGCGGAUGUUGACUUUGAUCGUUGACCGUUGAUAAUCAACGAUCGUAAUAGUCAGGUCCGACUGGCAGCCGGUCAUUUAUUUAAAUUUGAUUAAAUAAUAUUAUCAAUUAUAAAUAAAUUCUACCUAAUACCUACCAAAUCCAAAAUACAUUAGGCAGGCAAGACAACCCUCUCAAGUCUCAACAAACAAGUGCAACAAAUCAAUAAUUCAACAUUCAAGUUUCAACAAUUCAACGAAAAGAGAUCUUGAUUUCAUUUCGUAAUCACAAUUCACCAAAAAUAGAUAAGAUAAUGAAAGGAUUGAACGAAAAGAAUUCAGCAAAAACAAAAACAAUUCAACCAUUCAAGACUUCCAAGUAUGAAGAACAAUGAACUCACCCUGAGGACCUUGGCCCACACUGCACACGGCUUCUUCUCCUUUGCAAUUCGCACAAUCUCACACAGCACACCGCUACUUGCACCGCCCGACUCCGACCCGCACUUCGCAAUCGGAACCUACACGCCACUAGCCCAUUACCCAAUCAACCCACUUCACACUUUGAAUGGAAAUGUGGAAGGAAAUUAUGGGAUGGAAAUUAUGGAAUCAGGGGCGAAUAAUGGAAAGAAUUCAAGGGUUUGCUCUCUGCUCUCGCCUAACUGAUGGGAUUUCAUUUGGGGGAAACUGAUAUGGGUAUGGAUUAAUCAUUAGGGGUACUUGCAAAAAUACCCUAUAUUUUUGGGUUGUUUUAAAAAAACAUUAUAAACUUGGAUUUAUAAGCUCAAAACCUAAACUCACAAUAAUCCUCAUAAACCAGCCUCCAAUACGCAAAAAUCAAAGGGAAAUUGAAAGGAAAAGAGGAAAUCUUCCACAAAUACAUAAACAAAGUUUGUUCAUUCUUCAAAUUGAGGAAACCAUCCCCAAAAACAUUGAAAAAUCUGGAAAAAAAGUCGAGGAGAUCUUCCACAAAAACACAAACAAAAUUACAGGUAUUUCUAUGUGUUGGAUUCCAUGAUUAUAGCUCAUUAUCCAUCUCAUUUUUGUUUGAAUUUCAUGAUUAGAUUUAGUUUAAAUCUCAUAAUAUAUAAUUAACAUUUAUGAAGUUUCUUUUUGAUGAUUUUAUUAAUUUGAUUGGAAACAUGUAUGAAAAUAAAAUUGUUGAAGUUGAGUGAAUUGUGUCAAUACAUAUGAAAAAUUAGUUUUGAAUUAAUUAAAUUGAUGCUUGCAAGGUGUUUGACAAAAAGAUAAUGUGAAAAAGUGGCUUUCUAUCACUUUUUUCAAAAAAUGUCACAGCAUCUCUUUUAAACAAUUAGCUAGGUAUGCACAUGUGAGUUUUUGGAAAUUUGAACGUAUAUAUUCAAGCCCUAUUAAUCGGUAAUAUAUAUGAGAGAGAAAACUUUAAACCAAUAGCAUUGAUGCUUACAAUGUGUUUGCUCAAAGGAGAAGGUGAGAAAGUAGACUUCUGUCACCUUUCUGAAAAAAGUCAAAGCAUUUCUUUUGAGCAAUUAAAUAGGUAUGCAUGUGUGAGUUUUUGGAAAUUUGUAUGUAUAUAUUCAAGCUCUAUUUUCUAGUAAUACACAUUAGAAAGAAAAUUUUAAACCAAUUGCAUUGAUGCUUGCAAUGUGUUUGCUCAAAGGAAAAGAUGAGAAAGUGGCAUUUUGUCACUUUUCUAAAAAAAAGUCACAUCUCUCUUGAGCAAUUAGCUAGAUAUACAUGUGUGAGUUUUUGGAAAUUUGAAUGUAUAUAUUCAAGCCAUAUUUUUUGGUAAUAUACAUGAGAAAGAAAACUUUGAACCAAUUGCAUUGACGCUUGCAAUGUGUUUGCUCAUAGGAGAAGGUGAGAAAGUGGAAUUCUGUCACUUUUCUUAGAAAAAGUGACAUUUUGUGACCUUUCUUCAAAACAGUCACUAUUUAUCGUUGGAGUAAUUAAUCGGAUGCAUAUGUGUGCUUUUUUGAAAAUUUGAAUAUACUAAUUCAUAUCUUAUUUUUUGGUAAUACAUAUGAAAAAGAAAACUUUGAAUCAACUACAUGAAUGCUUGCAAGAUGUUUGAUCAUGAAGAGUGACAUUCUGUCACCUUUCUAAAAAAAGUGACAUUGUGUCACUUUUCAACGAAAAGGUGACAUUCGUUACCUUUCUACAAGAACAAUUGCCCUUUAUCAUUGGAACAAUUAACCGGAUGCAUACGUGUGCUUUUUUUGAAAGUUUAAACAUACCAAUUCAUGCCCCGUUAUCUGAGAAUACAUAUGAAAAUGAAAACUUUGAAUCAAUUAUAUGGAUGUGUUUGCACAUGGAGAGGGUGACAUGCUGUCACUUUUCUUAAAAAAAAGUGACGUUGUGUCACUUUUUUACGAAAAAAUGACAUUCUGUGACCUUUCUCCAAAAUAGUCACACUUUAUCAUUGGAGCAAUUAACCAGAUGCAUACGUGUGCUUUUCUAAAAGUUUGAACAUACCAAUUUAUGCCUUGUUUUCUGGUAAUACAUAUGAAAAAAAAAACUUUGAAUCCAUUACAUGGAUGUGUGUAAGGUGUUUGCUCAUUGAAAGUGUGACAUUCUAUCACUUUUUCUCAAAAAAAGUGACAUUGUGUCACUUUUCUAUGAAAAAGCGGCAUUUUGCCACUUUUUUUCCAAAAUAGUCAUGCUUUAUUAUUGGAGUAAUUGACCUGAUGCAUACAUGUACUUUUUUGAAAGUAUGAACAUACUAAUUCAUGGCCUGUUUUCCAGUAGUAUAUACGAAAAAGAAAACUUUGAUUCACUUACAUGGAUGCAUGUAAGAUGUUUGCUCAUGAAGAUUGACAUUCUGUCACUUUUCUAAAAAAAAGUGACAUUAUGUCACUUUUCGACGAAAAAGUGACAUUCUGUGACCUUUCUCCAAAACAAUCACCAUUUUUCAUUGGAAUAAUUAACUUGAUGCAUACGUAUGCUUUUUUGAAAGUUUGAACAUACUAAUUCAUGUCCUGUUCUUUGGUAAUAUAUAUGAAAAAGAAAACUUUGAAUCGAGUACGUGGAUGCGUGCAAGGUGUUUGCUCAUGUAGAGUGACAUUUUGUCACUUUCUUCAAAAAAAGUCAUACCAUUACCAUAUCAUUGGAGCAAUUAAGUAAUUUUAUACGUGAUUAUGUUUCUAUUUUUGAAAUUUGAAUAUACCAGUUCAAUUCCUGUUUUCUGGUAAUACAUAUAAAAAAGAAAAUUUUGAAUUAAUUACAUUGGUGCAUGUAAGGCUUUUGCUCAAGGAGAAUGUGAUUCUAUCACUUUUCUAUGAAAAAGUGACAAAAUAUUUUGUCACCAUUUUCAAUAAAAAGUCACAUCAUAUCAUUGGAACAAUUAAAUAGAUGCAUACGUGUGCAUUUUUUGAAAAUUUGAACAUACCAAUUCAAGCACUGUUUUCUGGUAAUAUAUAUGAAAUAGAAAAACUUUGAAUCAAUUGCAUUGAUGCUUGAAACGUGUUUGUUUAAAGAGAAUGUGAAAAAGUGACAUUCUUAAAAAAGUCACGGUAUCUCACUGACGCAAUUAACUAGAUGCAUAUUACUCUGUCACUUAAAAAAAAAAAAACUCACAAUUUUUUUUGCAAUCUUUUUCCAUGUAUGGAUAAAAUUAAUGUUUUCAUUUGUUAUGGAGGCAAAUGGACACAAGAUAAUGAAUAUACAAGUGAAAAAAAUCACCAAAAUUGUUGUCCUGAUGGAUUGCACGUACAACAUCCUUGAGUGCACGAUAUUUUCUGUAAUGAAACUAAGUUCAUCAACACAAAGAAUACAAAUACAAUAUAGUGUGGCAUUGUGUUGUUUUUGUUAGCAGUAGCGAUGUAGUGGCGGCAGUGGGAUGUGAUGACGAGUGUUUUGUGAUCAAUUAUUUGGUUGAUUUCUGACCAAGUAUUAGUAGUAGAUCGAGAGGGGGGUAGAGCGUUUAGUGUAUACGACCAAAUAUUUGGUUCUUUGUGACUAACAAUUAAAUUGUAACCUUAAAAUUCGUUAAUUUGUGACCAACAAAAUUGUGACCUAUAAAAUUUUUGAUUUGUGACCCAUGAAAUAAACUAUGUAAAAUUAAAAAGUGACGCAAUGCCACUCUUUUAUAAAAAUUGUCACUUUUUUUGUAAUUCGAAAAAAGUGACACAAAUUUAAAAGAAGUGGCAAAUUUAAUAAAAAAAGUGACAAAAUUAAGAAAAAAGAAAAAAAAAGACACAAACUCAAAAAAUAAAAUAAAAUAAAAUAAAAAAAUGACAAACACCAAAAUAGCAUCAUUCAUUUGCGCGUCACCAGUAAUUAUGUUCUUAACAUAAUCAACAUGUUCAGUACAAUUUACGUGAGUGUAGUAGUGAUUUUUAACAUAAUAAGCAUAUCUAGGACAAUCCAUGUGAUAGAAAUUCACAU
rnacentral:lncRNA from 1 species